GUGCUUGCUUCGGCAGCACAUAUACUAAAAUUGGAACCAUACAGAGAAGAUUAGCAUGGCCCCUGCGCAAGAAAUAGGAAAAACAUACUUUUCAUGCAUUU
ensembl:snRNA U6 U6 spliceosomal RNA